CUGCAAAACUUGCAGAUUUCGUUGUAUUAGUCAUUUUUCCUGGAUAUUUGUGCUUCUACCAUAAAAGUGAGUAGUCUACAUAGUUAAAUGGUUUCUUCCACUUAGUCCAGUUAUGAACGACACGGAU